rnacentral:snRNA from 1 species
UUGUUUCAGCAGCACAUAUGCUAAAAUUGGAAGGCUACAGAGAAGAUUUUUAGUAUGGGCCCCAUGCAAAAAUGACAUGUAAAGAACUUCAAGGGAUCCUU